GUGUGUGUGUGUGUAAUGGGAGCGAUUUAUGAGCCGUGUGCUUUAGGGUGUGUGUGCAUUUGCUUGAGUAUUAUCAGCUCUAUAAAUUACACACACUGCAAUGAGCCUGGCAAAGUGCUCUGCUCCAUCAUACUUAGCCGCUCUGUCCUUAUCUGCGCUGCCUCGUGUCCACGUUCUCUCUGUUUUUCUCUUUAUCUCUCUCUCUCCUUCUCACUUGUUCCUGAGGGACUAAUGUGUCCUCGUCGCUGCGUCUGGACUCCGAGAGGAACGCUCAUCUGUUUAGACUAAGCCCUGACACGGGAUUUUUCUGUCCGCAUUAACACCUGCUGCUUUGCCAACACAGAGCCCACACACACACACUUUGCUGCAGCAAGUGAAUUCUGGGUUCUGAUUGGCCACAAGGCGUUGAUUAUGGUCAAUAUUAAUGCGCUUGUCGUUUCCAUAGCAACAGCUCAUUCACAGGGACUUGUACGGCUGACGCUCCACCACGUAUCCUUUGACUUCGAACAUUCAGAACCGUAAGCGUGUCAGGUUCUGCGACUCCCUGCGAUAUUCUCGGGAUGAGCGUAACAUUAUAGAAGCUACACGAAAAGCCUCCUCGUUUCCUACAGUGAUGACUUUUUUUCAGAUUGAGAUGAAAUUUGAAGCGUGAGAUUUAUUUAUUUAUUUUUUUAACCACACAGGCGCUUUCUUUCCAUUAAUUAAUAUUCCCGAAUUGUUCUUGCCUCUGCCACGUCAUUCGCAACAGCUGCAUGCGCACGGCUGCGGCGUUCGGUGUGAAAUUCAUUAAUUUUCAACUCGCGCCUCGGCGAGACGAACCCGUGAAAGCAAGGUAGCACCUUUCCGCCGUUGCUUUCGCGAGAUGGUGCGAGAUGCUGCCUCUUUUUCGACACCGACAAUGCGGCGUACACAGCUGGCUGCUGUCAUCAGACGGAGUCGAAGAUUUCACCCAAAACUCGGUGAAGAUUAGCUGCAGCAGAGAGCGUGCGUGCGUGCGUGCGUGCGUUUAUUUUUGUAUGGUCGUGGGCCUUCAUGAUAAUUAAAGUGUGUGUUCACGGUUUCACACGGUUAGCAUGACGGGACAGGGAUGGACUGCGAUUGGUCAGAAAGUGUUGAUCGGUUUUCUGUAACUGCAGCGCUGACUGUAGUGCAGCUUCAAAUCACAGGUUUAGAGAAAUGCAUCAUUGUAUAAAAGAUACGAAGAAAGGCUGGAGAGAUGGGGAAAGAGAGAAAGAAAGGCUGGAGAGAUGGGGAAAGAAAGAAAGAAAGAGGCUGGAGAGAUGGGAGAAGAAAGAAAGAAAGAAAGAGGCUGGAGAGAUGGGAGAAGAAGGAAGAAGAAAGGCUGGAGAGAUGGGAGAAGAAAG
ensembl:lncRNA